rnacentral:rRNA from 1 species
UACGUAGGGUGCAAGCGUUGUUCGGAAUCAUUGGGCGUAAAGCGCGUGUAGGUGGUCUGCUAAGUCGAUUGUGAAAUCCCUGGGCUCAACCGAGGAAGUGCAGUCGAAACUGGUAGGCUAGAGGACAGCAGGGGAAGGUGGAAUUCCAAGUGUAGAGGUGAAAUUCGUAGAUAUUUGGAGGAAUACCGGCGGCGAAGGCGGCCUUCUGGACUGUUCCUGACACUGAGACGCGAAAGCGUGGGUAGCAAACAGG